UUUUAUGUGCCACUUUGUGAUAUUGAUUUUAUUUCAUUAUUUGAUUUGUUUAAGAACUAUAAAAGAGAACUAUCAAAUUGUGAAAAAGGGGGACUUGUACAGUAAAACUACAAAUACUAGAAAAAAUCCAAGAAAAAAGUUCUACUCUGACUCUUCUCCAACUCCACCUACACGAAAAAAAUAAUAACUCAUCACACAAC
rnacentral:lncRNA from 1 species